GAUGAACGCUGGCGGCGUGCCUAAUACAUGCAAGUCGAGCGAACAGACGAGGAGCUUGCUCCUCUGACGUUAGCGGCGGACGGGUGAGUAACACGUGGAUAACCUACCUAUAAGACUGGGAUAACUUCGGGAAACCGGAGCUAAUACCGGAUAAUAUAUUGAACCGCAUGGUUCAAUAGUGAAAGACGGUUUUGCUGUCACUUAUAGAUGGAUCCGCGCCGCAUUAGCUAGUUGGUAAGGUAACGGCUUACCAAGGCAACGAUGCGUAGCCGACCUGAGAGGGUGAUCGGCCACACUGGAAGGGAGACACGGUCCAGACUACUACGGGAGGCAGCAGUAGGGAAUCUUCCGCAAUGGGCGAAAGCCUGACGGAGCGACGCCGAGUGAGAGAUGAAGGUCUUCGGAGCGGAAAACUCUGUUAUUAGGGAAGAACAAAUGUGGAAGUAACUAUGCACGUCUUGACGGUACCUAAUCAGAAAGCCACGGCUAACUACGUG
rnacentral:rRNA from 1 species